GCCCGACGCAGAGUCGCUGUAAUAAAUGCUCGGGAAGUUAUAGAGAGAAAGGAGACGAUCCCAGUGAUUAAUGCCAAAGCCCUGUUGCCUGGGGAGAGGGUGAUGUUUGACUUUCUUGUACAGCUGCAGUUUGUGUGGUGAAGGUGCUCCCACAAUGUGGUUGGGAUACUACAGGUGGACAUUCAGAUGGUAAUCUCAGUCAUUGUAACACCAAACUUUGAUUGAAUUAGUCAGUUCAUCAGGACCUG